AAGUCGUAACAAGGUUUCCGUAGGUGAACCUGCGGAAGGAUCAUCAAACUAGAUAAAAACUAGAUAAAAAGAAAAACUUUUUUUUGGGUGCUUUUUGAAAGCUUUAGACAUAAAAUAAAAGUACAAACUUUUAACCAUGGAUCUCUAGGCUCUU
rnacentral:misc_RNA from 1 species